UGGGGAAUAUUGCACAAUGGGCGCAAGCCUGAUGCAGCCAUGCCGCGUGUAUGAAGAAGGCCUUCGGGUUGUAAAGUACUUUCAGUCGGGAGGAAGGUGUCAAGGUUAAUAACCUUGUCGAUUGACGUUACCCGCAGAAGAAGCACCGGCUAACUCCGUGCCAGCAGCCGCGGUAAUACGGAGGGUGCAAGCGUUAAUCGGAAUUACUGGGCGUAAAGCGCACGCAGGCGGUCUGUCAAGUCGGAUGUGAAAUCCCCGGGCUUAACCUGGGAACUGCAUUCGAAACUGGCAGGCUAGAGUCUUGUAGAGGGGGGUAGAAUUCCAGGUGUAGCGGUGAAAUGCGUAGAGAUCUGGAGGAAUACCGGUGGCGAAGGCGGCCCCCUGGACAAAGACUGACGCUCAGGUGCGAAAGCGUGGGGAGCAAACAGG
rnacentral:rRNA from 1 species